rnacentral:rRNA from 1 species
CCCUUAGAUGUUCUGGGCCGCACGCGUGCUACACUGAUGCAUUCAACGAGUGUACCUUGGCCGAGAGGCCUGGGCAAUCUUUUGAACGUGCAUCGUGAUAGGGAUAGAUUAUUGCAAUUAUUAAUCUUGAACGAGGAAUUCCUAGUAAACGCAGAUCAUCAAUCUGCAUUGAUUACGUCCCUGCCCUUUGUACACACCGCCCGUCGCACCUACCGAUUGGAUGGUCCGGUGAAGCCUCGGGAUUGUGGCGGUUGCCUUUAUUGGUGUCCGCCGCGAGAACUUGUCUAAACCUUAUCAUCUAGAGGAAGGUGAAGUCGUAACA